UAAUGCUUGGGAAUCUGGCUUAUGGGAGGGGAUAACGACGGGAAACUGUCGCUAAUACCGCGUAUUAUCGGAAGAUGAAAGUGCGGGACUGAGAGGCCGCAUGCCAUAGGAUGAGCCCAAGUGGGAUUAGGUAGUUGGUGGGGUAAAGGCCUACCAAGCCUGCGAUCUCUAGCUGGUCUGAGAGGAUGACCAGCCACACUGGAACUGAGACACGGUCCAG
rnacentral:rRNA from 1 species